GCAAGUCGAACGCAGUAGCAAUACUGAGUGGCAAACGGGUGAGUAUAAUGUGGGAAUCUGCCUUUUGGUUUGGAAUAACACGGGGAAACUUGUGCUAAUACCGAAUAAGCCCUUACGGGGAAAGUUUUAAUGCCGAAAGAUGAGCCUGCACUUGAUUAGCUAGUUGGUACGGUAAAGGCUUACCAAGGCUACGAUCAAUAGCUGUUCUUAGAGGAAGACCAGCCACAUUGGGACUGAGACACGGCCCAGACUCCUACGGGAGGCAGCAGUGGGGAAUCUUGCACAAUGGGGGAAACCCUGAUGCAGCGAUGCCGCGUGAGUGAAGAAGGCCCUUGGGUUGUAAAACUCUUUCGUCGGGGAAGAAAAUGACUGUACCCGAAUAAGAAGGUCCGGCUAACUUCGUGCCAGCAGCCGCGGUAAUACGAAGGGACCUAGCGUAGUUCGGAAUUACUGGGCUUAAAGAGCUCGUAGGUGGUUAAAAAAGUUGAUGGUGAAAUCCCAAGGCUCAACCUUGGAACUGCCAUCAAAACUUUUUAGCUAGAGUGUGAUAGAGGUAAGUGGAAUUUCUAGUGUAGAGGUGAAAUUCGUAGAUAUUAGAAAGAACACCAAAUGCGAAGGCAACUUACUGGGUCACUACUGACACUGAGGAGCGAAAGCAUGGGUAGCGAAGAGG
rnacentral:rRNA from 1 species